rnacentral:rRNA from 1 species
AUACGUAGGGGGCGAGCGUUGUCCGGAAUGAUUGGGCGUAAAGGGCGCGUAGGCGGCCCGGUAAGUCUGGAGCGAAAGUCCUGUUUUUAAGAUGGGAAUUGCUUUGGAUACUGUCGGGCUUGGGUGCAGGAGAGGGAAGGGGAAUUCACAGUGUAGCGGUGAAAUGCGUAGAGAUUGGGAGGAACACCAGUGGCGAUGGCGACUUACUGGACUGUAACUGACGCUGAGGCGCGAAAGUGUGGGGAGCAAACAGGAUUAGAUACCCUGGUAGUCCACACUGUAAACGAUGAAUGCUAGGUGUAGGGGGUAUCGACCCCUUCUGUGCCGCAGUCAACACAAUAAGCAUUCCGCCUGGGGAGUACGGCCGCAAGGUUGAAACUCAAAGGAAUUGACGGGG